GAGUACUUACGUUUCCUCGGUGGGUUCGCCCGCCGAUUGGACAAUUUAAACCCUUUGCAGUUGCAAUCAGCGUCUGAAAAACAUAAUAGUUACAACUUUCAACAACGGAUCUCUUGGUUCUGGCAUCGAUGAAGAACGCAGCGAAAUGCGAUAAGUAGUGUGAAUUGCAGAAUUCAGUGAAUCAUCGAAUCUUUGAACGCACAUUGCGCCCCUUGGUAUUCCAUGGGGCAUGCCUGUUCGAGCGUCAUUUGUACCUUCAAGCUUUGCUUGGUGUUGGGUGUUUGUCUCGCCUUUGCGUGUAGACUCGCCUUAAAACAAUUGGCAGCCGGCGUAUUGAUUUCGGAGCGCAGUACAUCUCGCGCUUUGCACUCAUAACGACGACGUCCAAAAGUACAUUUUUACACUCUUGACCUCGGAUCAGGUAGGGAUACCCGCUGAACUUAAGCAUAUCAAUAGGC
rnacentral:rRNA from 1 species